rnacentral:rRNA from 1 species
UCUGCUCAAUGAUUUUUUAAAUUGCUGUAGUAUUUUGACUAUACAAAGGUAUUGUAAUAAGGCUUUAAUUGAGUGCUAAAAGAAUGGACUUUCAAAAAAACUCUUUUUUAAAUUUAAAAAUUUAAAUUAUUUUUAUUUGUGAAGAAACAAUAAUUUAAAUUAAGGACAAGAAGACCCUAAGAAUUUUAGUAUUUCACAUAUAAGAUUAUAUAUGUAAAAUGCUUAAUUGGGGCGAUUCAAAAAAAUUAUAAACUUUUUUAUUAUAAAUAUGACCCAUUAUUAAUGAUAUUAUGAAACAAAUACUCUAGGGAUAACAGCGUAAA